UACAGAGGUCCCAAGCGUUGUUCGGAUUCACUGGGCGUAAAGGGUGCGUAGGCGGUCGGGUAAGUCUGACGUGAAAUCUUCAAGCUUAACUUGGAAACUGCGUCGGAUACUAUUCGGCUGGAGGAAUGGAGGGGAGACUGGAAUACUUGGUGUAGCAGUGAAAUGCGUAGAUAUCAAGUGGAACACCAGUGGCGAAGGCGAGUCUCUGGACACUUCCUGACACUGAGGCACGAAAGCUAGGGGAGCAAACAGG
rnacentral:rRNA from 1 species